rnacentral:misc_RNA from 1 species
CAACUGCGAUAACUAGUGCGAACUGCAGAUAUUUUGAGCACUAAAGUUUCGAAUGCACAUUGCGCCAUUGGAUUAACUAUCCAAUGGCACGUCUGGCUCAGGGUCGUAAAUUCAAAACCCCACGAAACUGGUGGUGAAACUUUUUGUGAGGAUUGUUGCGAAUUUGGUCCGCACUUGUUUCUUUGUGCUGCUCUUGGACCGAACAAAACAACAACACUCCCACUGAGCAUUUACUGCCCGUCGCACGGUUCAUUUAUCUCAAUGUCCUAACGCUUAUAUGGACUGCGGUAAUUGAGCCAUUGUGGUGGGAGUAGUCGAUUUUUCGACCUGAACUCAGACGUGAUUACCCGCUGAACUUAAAC